rnacentral:tRNA from 1 species
GACCUCGUAACUCAGCUGGCUAGAGUACAACACUUUUAAUGUUGGAGUCGUGAGUUCGAGUCUCACCGGGGUCAC